UGCGGGAUCGGCUAAAGGUAGGCCGUCGCGCUCUGGACGCGAAAAUCUUGGUUCGAUUCCAAGUCCCGCAG
rnacentral:tRNA from 1 species